UUGCCUGAUGAUUGAAAUACAAAAGUAUGAUAUGUGUUAUGCUACAGAGUGUGCAUGAUCUUAUGAUGUUUAUAAUGUUAUUGUUUUCAUAAGUUGUUUUCAUGAAUCUCACCGAGGUAAGUGGACAGUAAAGGGUUUUAUUAUUGAUAAAUGAAUUUGUUAUGAAUUAUGCUCCAUUGGUCGUUUUUAUUUUCUACCAACCUU
rnacentral:lncRNA from 1 species